CCUUGGCUGUGGCAAGACCCAGGCCAGAGGAGGCUCCAGUGAUUAUCACAUUGCCUUUCCUCGCAGUUUUCUUUCCUUCUGUUGUAGUCUGGUCAAUAGCUGGAUCUACAGUAGCUGUUUGGGCUCUUAUGGCGCCAAGAGGAACAUGAGGCCUAUUGGUAACAUGUAGAGAAACUAAAAGUCUUAAAGUGCGUAGUGUGUCUAUCAAUAAGGUCUUGAACCAAUUGGAUCAAUGCAAGCUAGCUGAGUGUGGACUUAAAAUGUUGAGAUCAUUGCGGAAGAGCACUUCACUAUCCCUAGAAUUAUAUAAUCCAAUCUCAUAAAGAAGACUAGCAUGCCAGAAUACCAAAUGGAAGAAGAGACAUCAUAGUUAGGCAAGCCUACCUUGCUCCUUAUCAAGUAAUUGCUGAAUUCACCUGCUGGGUGGUUUGAAGUUGAUAUCCCGGAAAAAGUAGUCUCUCUGAGUGAAGCAUUGGACUUUCCCUGUUAACACAAACGCCUUCACAUGAAUCAGAUUGAUGGGAAAGACCCAUAGAAUACUAAUCAAGAACAUACCCAGAAACUCCAUGAAAAGACAGAAAGCAGUACAGACUGAACCGAUCCUUACAUUUUUGCGGAUGGAGAUGCUAUGAGGAAGUAGAGAAGCUGCUUGGAGAGCCAUAAGUCUGUGUUUGUGAGACUGUGAGUGGAGCUUUCAAAUGGAAUCAGGUCAGGACUCUGAACUUUUGCAGGGAGAGAUAAGACCAGUCUUGGGCUGCUGACAAUUUUGCCACGUGGACUUGUUUGUCCAAUUGGGUUUUGAGCUUGGAUUUUCUUCUGAUAUAUGAUGUCCAGCUGGACAUAGACAUCCAAUUGGCUUGUCCACUGUGGUUUUCCGGAAUGUUCCUCAUCCGUUCCCAGUGAUGGGCUGGGCUUCAUUUUUUACAGUGGGUUUGUAAUGUGGGCUCUAUUAUCUAGCACAAUAAGACGGUGUGGGCUCAGUGGCUUAGAUUUAGGCCGCAUAAUUCAUACUUUUGGCUCUGAAAUGGAAGUUGGAAAUGCUAGACAAUUUCUGACCUACUUUUUAUUCACGAAAAAUCAUGAACUA